rnacentral:rRNA from 1 species
UACGGAGGGGGCUAGCGUUGUUCGGAAUUACUGGGCGUAAAGCGCACGUAGGCGGCUUUGUAAGUUAGAGGUGAAAGCCCGGGGCUCAACUCCGGAAUUGCCUUUAAGACUGCAUCGCUAGAAUUGUGGAGAGGUAAGUGGAAUUCCGAGUGUAGAGGUGAAAUUCGUAGAUAUUGGGAAGAACACCAGUGGCGAAAGGCGGCUAAUCUGGACCGUAACUGACGC